AUGCCCAUUUUUAACUUGGUCUGCGUUUCCUUUUCCACCUUUUCUUUGAACUCCUUAAAUGUUUCGAAUGCUUGAUCCUUGGAAGUUAGUAAAUACGCCCACAUGUAGCGAGUACAGUCGUCUACAAGUAAGAAUAUAUACUUCUUCCCAGCAUGUGUUGGUGGAGUUAUAGGACCACACAAAUCCCCAUAGACUAAGUCCAGAGGUUUUAAAGAUCUGAACUUUGCCUGAUUUGGAAAUGGUGCCCUACUAUGCUUUCCUAAUAAGCAUGCGUCACAGACUUGACUAGCAUGACUUAUUUGUGGAACUCCAUGUACCAAGUUCUUACGAGUCAUUUCCUUAAUAGCGUCGAAGUGUAAAUGGCCUAACCUUGCGUGCCAUAACCAUGCUGUGUCUUCGGUCUUUGAUAGUAAGCAGAUUGGUUUUCCCGUUUUCAGUUUGACUUUGUAUAGCCUGUUCUUCAUUCUCUUGACUCGCAUUAUUGUCCGAGGCUCAAUAUAUUGGUUUUCAGACUUGGAAUGUAGUAGACAUGUGAAACAAUCUUUUGUUCUUGGUUCAGACAUUCCAGUAGUAUUGA
rnacentral:lncRNA from 1 species